UUUAUAUUGGCAGCAGAUGCACAUCCUAAUUGGUCAUUCAACUUUAACUUGCAGUUCACUGCCAUGAACCCAACAAUGACAAGGCAAAUCAACAGAUACAAUAGAGGAGGCUGAAACAUGGAGCAGCUUCGUGGGCGCAGAAGCAGCAAGCGGUGGUUGGCAUCAGCAGUGAUAGCUACAGAACCAUGCUGUUCUCCUCUUGUUUCCAAGAUGUGUAGUCCAGCUGAGUAGAGAUAUGUUAGUCACUUCUCAGCAGAUUAUCUCUACAUGGUUUUAAUUGUUAACUGAUACUUUCUGUUUGUACCUGUUUGAGAUUUUUUUUAAAUCAGCGAAGCAAAGGAUUCAGUUCUUAAUUA